AGAGUUUGAUCCUGGCUCAGGAUGAACGCUGGCGGUCUGCUUAACACAUGCAAGUCGAACGGGAUCCUUCGGGAUUUAGUGGCGGACGGGUGAGUAACGCGUGAGAAUCUGCCCUUAGGUUGGGGACANCAGUUGGAAACGACUGCUAAUACCCAAUGUGCCGAGAGGUGAAAGGUUAACUGCCUGGGGAUGAGCUCGCGUCUGAUUAGCUAGUUGGAGUGGUAACGGCACACCAAGGCGACGAUCAGUAGCUGGUCUGAGAGGAUGAUCAGCCACACUGGGACUGAGACACGGCCCAGACUCCUACGGGAGGCAGCAGUGGGGAAUUUUCCGCAAUGGGCGAAAGCCUGACGGAGCAAGACCGCGUGAGGGAGGAAGGCCUAUUGGUUGUAGACCUCUUUUGAUAGGGAAGAACACAAUGACGGUACCUAUCGAAUCAGCAUCGGCUAACUCCGUGCCAGCAGCCGCGGUAAUACGGAGGAUGCAAGCGUUAUCCGGAUUUAUUGGGCGUAAAGCGUCCGUAGGUGGCAAACCAAGUCAGUUGUUAAAGCGUAGAGCUUAACUCUAUAAGGGCAAUUGAAACUGGUUAGCUAGAGUGCGAUAGGGGCAAGGGGAAUUCCCAGUGUAGCGGUGAAAUGCGUAGAUAUUGGGAAGAACAUCGGUGGCGAAGGCGCCUUGCUGGGUCUGCACUGACACUGAGGGACGAAAGCUAGGGGAGCGAAAGGGAUUAGAUACCCCUGUAGUCCUAGCCGUAAA
rnacentral:rRNA from 1 species